GGCUCCGUAGCUCAGUUGUAUAGAGCGGCUGUCUCCGGAACAGCAGGCCGUAGGUUAGAGUCCUACCGGGGUCACCA
rnacentral:tRNA from 1 species